UUGGGAGAUUAUGACUUGCCCAAGGUCAUACAGCUAGUGUUUUAAAGCAGGUCUUGGAUUUCCCCUGGGGCUGCCCCACUUCAGCAUAUCUAAUAUACCAAGUUAUCAUCUAUUUAAUUUUGGAAAUUGCUUUAAACCAUUGGUCAGAAGAUCCCAGGUGUUUAAGACUUUCAAAAGUGCCUGCCUGGAGAAAAGCAACAUGAAUUUUCUUGGUUGGAUUUUGAAAGCAUUUUUACUUUAUCACUGCUCAAAUCAGAGCCACAAUCAUGACUCCAUUUAGGUCCCAGGAAGCCUCUUUUAGCUCUGAAAGUUCAUCUCAUGAAACAAUAAAAAAGGUAAAAUUAAUUACUAAUAGGACAGUUCAGAGCUUUGUUUGAAGAGACCAUCCCUCCCGAGUUACAAUGAGGCUGUGCUAAGUCCUAAUACUAUCAGAAGGACUCAAACCUUUAUAGUAAAGUUUUGAAUUAGAACCUCAACAAAAGCUAAAACUAUCUUCAUAGAAAUUAUGACAAGUUUAUCUACUCCUGAUAGACUGAUAAUGCAAUUUAUCAUCACUUGGAGAGUAAUCGAUGCAAACUGAAAAUCUCUGUUCAAGGAUGUUUUUAUUAUUUCUUACUGGCAAAAAGCUCCAUUCCUGAGUCUUGGGAUCAUACUUCUCUACCACAUCAAUGGGGGACUGCUGGCUGCCAAACCCUCCAAUCACCAGAAGUACCUCAUUGGCUCCUGAGGACAAAGUGAGAAAAUGAUAGGUUACUUUCUAUCCCUAGUUGGAAAUGAAGUUCCUCCUCAGGAAAUCCUGACAGAAAUAUUUAACAGGCAUCUAGUCUUUUCAGUAACUCAGAGUAAUGGUUCAAGGUAAAAAUAUGUAGUUGGAAUGUC